rnacentral:rRNA from 1 species
GACGAACGCUGGCGGCGUGCUUAACACAUGCAAGUCGACAUGAGUGGCGAACGGGUUAGUAAUUCGUCGGUAUCCUGCCCUCCUUUUUGGGAUAAGCCUUGGAAACGGGGUCUACUACCGAAUACAGGGGGAUGGGCUCUGGGCCUAUCAGCUUGUUGGUGGGGUGAUGGCCUACCAAGGCGGUGACGGGUAGCCGGGCUGAGAGGGUGAACGGCAACUGUGGGACGGAGAUACGGCCCAGAGGCCGACGGGGGGCGGAAGUGGGGGAUAUGGCACAAUGGGCGAAAGACUGAUGCAGCGACGCGGCAUGGGGGAUGAAGGCUUUAGGGUUGUAAACCUCGUUCGCUAGCGAACGGGUAGGUGGAGAAGAAGCGCCGGCUAACUACGUGCCAGCAGCCGCGGUAAUAC